AUAUCAGUCAUGCAUAGCAUAUCAAUAAGCGGAGGAAAAGAAACUAACAAGGAUUCCCUUAGUAACGGCGAGUGAAGCGGGAAGAGCUCAAAUUUGAAAUCUUCAAGGUUUUACCUUGACGAAUUGUAGUUUAAAGAAGUGUUUUCUGUUGAAGUUUUGGUAAAAGUUCUUUGGAAUAGGACAUCAUAGAGGGUGAGAAUCCCGUAUUUGACCAUUACUUUCAGCUUUGUGAUACACUUUCAAAGAGUCGGAUUGUUUGGGAAUGCAGUCCAAAAUGGGUGGUAAAUUUCAUCUAAAGCUAAAUAUUGGCGAGAGACCGAUAGCGAACAAGUACCGUGAGGGAAAGAUGAAAAGAACUUUGAAAAGAGAGUUAAACAGUACGUGAAAUUGUCAAAAGGGAAGCGUUUGACACCAGUGUUGUUUUCUCGAAAAUCAAUUAAAAAGAGUUGGAUUUUGUGUUGUAUUGACUUUAUCAGCUUUCUUCACUCUUUUCCAGCUUUUUUUAAUGCACUUUUCGUUUAACAAGUCAACAUCAGUUUCUUUUGUUGUAAAAAGGUCAUUGGAAGGUGGCUUUCUCUUCGGAGAAAGUGUUUACUAGCCUUUGACUCAUGCAAUCGGAGAGACUGAGGUCUGCAGCGUAGAUCCUUCGGGGUUAGAUACAUUUGUGCUAAGUUAUAGCUUUUCAUAGACAACUUGUUGACUAUGUUUAGUCUUGUAGCUUACUCGCUUAUGCUAUUUUACCUACGCUUAGGAUGUUGAACUCUAUCACACACAG
rnacentral:rRNA from 1 species